rnacentral:rRNA from 1 species
UGACCGGGGUUGCGGACAGUGUCUGGUGGGUAGUUUGACUGGGGCGGUCUCCUCCCAAAGCGUAACGGAGGAGCACGAAGGUUAGCUAAUCCUGGUCGGACAUCAGGAGGUUAGUGCAAUGGCAUAAGCUAGCUUGACUGCGAGCGUGACGGCGCGAGCAGGUGCGAAAGCAGGUCAUAGUGAUCCGGUGGUUCUGAAUGGAAGGGCCAUCGCUCAACGGAUAAAAGGUACUCCGGGGAUAACAGGCUGAUACCGCCCAAGAGUUCAUAUCGACGGCGGUGUUUGGCACCUCGAUGUCGGCUCAUCACAUCCUGGGGCUGAAGUAGGUCCCAAGGGUAUGGCUGUUCGCCAUUUAAAGUGGUACGCGAGCUGGGUUUAGAACGUCGUGAGACAGUUCGGUCCCUAUCUGCCGUGGGCGCUGGAGAAUUGAGGGGGGCUGCUCCUAGUACGAGAGGACCGGAGUGGACGCAUCACUGGUGUUCGGGUUGUCAUGCCAAUGGCACUGCCCGGUAGCUAAAUGCGGAAGAGAUAAGUGCUGAAAGCAUCUAAGCACGAAACUUGCCCCGAG